GUGCUUUUUUUGACUACACUUAUACUCAAAUCAGAAAGAUACAGAGACCAUUUACAUGGCCCCUGAGCAAGGAUGACAUGAAAAUUUGUGAAGAAUUCCAUAUUUUU